rnacentral:rRNA from 1 species
GGUGAGUAACACGUGGGUAACCUGCCUGUAAGACUGGGAUAACUCCGGGAAACCGGAGCUAAUACCGGAUAGUUCCUUGAACCGCAUGGUUCAAGGAUGAAAGACGGUUUCGGCUGUCACUUACAGAUGGACCCGCGGCGCAUUAGCUAGUUGGUGAGGUAACGGCUCACCAAGGCGACGAUGCGUAGCCGACCUGAGAGGGUGAUCGGCCACACUGGGACUGAGACACGGCCCAGACUCCUACGGGAGGCAGCAGUAGGGAAUCUUCCGCAAUGGACGAAAGUCUGACGGAGCAACGCCGCGUGAGUGAUGAAGGUUUUCGGAUCGUAAAGCUCUGUUGUUAGGGAAGAACAAGUGCAAGAGUAACUGCUUGCACCUUGACGGUACCUAACCAGAAAGCCACGGCUAACUACGUGCCAGCAGCCGCGGUAAUACGUAGGUGGCAAGCGUUGUCCGGAAUUAUUGGGCGUAAAGGGCUCGCAGGCGGUUUCUUAAGUCUGAUGUGAAAGCCCCCGGCUCAACCGGGGAGGGUCAUUGGAAACUGGGAAACUUGAGUGCAGAAGAGGAGAGUGGAAUUCCACGUGUAGCGGUGAAAUGCGUAGAGAUGUGGAGGAACACCAGUGGCGAAGGCGACUCUCUGGUCUGUAACUGACGCUGAGGAGCGAAAGCGUGGGGAGCGAACAGGAUUAGAUACCCUGGUAGUCCACGCCGUAAACGAUGAGUGCUAAGUGUUAGGGGGUUUCCGCCCCUUAGUGCUGCAGCUAACGCAUUAAGCACUCCGCCUGGGGAGUACGGUCGCAAGACUGAAACUCAAAGGAAUUGACGGGGGCCCGCACAAGCGGUGGAGCAUGUGGUUUAAUUCGAAGCAACGCGAAGAACCUUACCAGGUCUUGACAUCCUCUGACAACCCUAGAGAUAGGGCUUUCCCUUCGGGGACAGAGUGACAGGUGGUGCAUGGUUGUCGUCAGCUCGUGUCGUGAGAUGUUGGGUUAAGUCCCGCAACGAGCGCAACCCUUGAUCUUAGUUGCCAGCAUUCAGUUGGGCACUCUAAGGUGACUGCCGGUGACAAACCGGAGGAAGGUGGGGAUGACGUCAAAUCAUCAUGCCCCUUAUGACCUGGGCUACACACGUGCUACAAUGGACAGAACAAAGGGCUGCGAGACCGCAAGGUUUAGCCAAUCCCACAAAUCUGUUCUCAGUUCGGAUCGCAGUCUGCAACUCGACU